rnacentral:rRNA from 1 species
CCAAUAGCGUAUAUUAAAGUUGUUGCAGUUAAAAAGCUCGUAGUUGAACUUCGGGGUUUACCCAUUGGUCAGGCUUAAUUGUCUGUACUGGUGAGAUGAAUCUCUACCUUCUGAGGAACUUUCAUGCCAUUUAUUUGGUGUGAUUGGAAAUCAGGACUGUUACUUUGAAAAAAUUAGAGUGUUUAAAGCAGGCUAACGUCUGAAUACAUUAGCAUGGAAUAAUGAAAUAGGACGGAUUGAUUCUAUUUCGUUGGUUUCUAGGAUCACCGUAAUGAUUAAUAGGGAUAGUUGGGGGCAUUAGUAUUCAAUUGUCAGAGGUGAAAUUCUUGGAUUUAUUGAAGACUAACUACUGCGAAAGCAUUUGCCAAGGAUGUUUUCAUUAAUCAAGAACGAAAGUUAGGGGAUCGAAGACGAUCAGAUACCGUCGUAGUCUUAACCAUAAACUAUGCCGACUAGGGAUCGGAUGAUGUUAAUUUUUUAAUGACUCAUUCGGCGCCUUACG